rnacentral:rRNA from 1 species
UAUCUCUGUAGAGUCUGCAUAUCAAUAAGCGGAGGAAAAGAAACUAACAAGGAUUCCCUUAGUAACGGCGAGUGAAGCGGGAAGAGCUCAAAUUUGAAAUCUUCAAGGUUCUACCUUGACGAAUUGUAGUUUAAAGAAGUGUUUUCUGUUAGGAGUGAGUAUCAAAAGUUCUUUGGAAUAGGACAUCAUAGAGGGUGAGAAUCCCGUAUUUGGUUAUUCAUUCUAGCUUUGUGAUACACUUUCAAAGAGUCGGAUUGUUUGGGAAUGCAGUCCAAAAUGGGUGGUAAAUUUCAUCUAAAGCUAAAUAUUGGCGAGAGACCGAUAGCGAACAAGUACCGUGAGGGAAAGAUGAAAAGAACUUUGAAAAGAGAGUUAAACAGUACGUGAAAUUGUCAAAAGGGAAGCGUUUGACACCAGUGUUGUUUUUCCGAAAAUCAAUUACGAAUGGCUUGAUUCUGUGUUGUAUUGACCUUAUCAGCUUUCUUCACUUUUUUCGAGUCUUUCUUAAUGCACUUUUCGGUUAACAAGUCAACAUCAAUUUCUUUUGUUGUAAAAGAGUAUUCGGAAGGUGGCUUUCUUUUCGGAGAAAGUGUUUAUAGCCCUAUACUUCUACAAUCGGAGAGAUUGAGGUCUGCAGCGUAGAUCCUUCGGGGUUAGAUACACUUGUGCUAAGUUGUAGCUUUUCAUAGACAACUUGUUGACUAUGAUCAGUCAUGUAGCUUACUCGCUUAUGCUAUUUUACCUACGCUUAGGAUGUUGAUAGUCACAGCGUGUAC